GAAAUGCGAUAAGUAAUGUGAAUUGCAGAAUUCAGUGAAUCAUCGCAUCUUUGAACGCACAUUGCGCCCGCCAGUAUUCUGGCGGGCAUGCCUGUUCGAGCGUCAUUUCAACCAUCAAGCCCCCGGCUUGUGUUGGGGACCUGCGGCUGCCCGCAGGCCCUGAAAAACAGUGGCGGGCUCGCUGUCACACCGAGCGUAGUAGCAUACAUUCUCGCUCAGGGCGUGCUGCGGGUUCCGGCCGUUAAACGACCUUCAUAACCCAAGGUUGACCUCGGAUCAGGUAGGAAGACCCGCUGAACUUAAGC
rnacentral:misc_RNA from 1 species